rnacentral:rRNA from 1 species
UACGUAGGGGGCGAGCGUUAUCCGGAUUCACUGGGUGUAAAGGGAGCGUAGACGGCCAUGCAAGCCAGGGGUGAAAGCCCGGGGCCCAACCCCGGGACUGCCCUUGGAACUGUGCGGCUAGAGUGCGGGAGGGGCAGGCGGAAUUCCUGGUGUAGCGGUGAAAUGCGUAGAUAUCUGGAGGAACACCGGCGGCGAAGGCGGCCUGCUGGACCGCGACUGACGUUGAGGCUCGAAAGCGUGGGGAGCGAACAGG